GUGCUUGGUUCAGCAGUACAUAUACUAAAAUUGGAACGCUACAGAGAUUAGCAUGGCCCCUACACAAGGAUGACACACUAAUUUGUGAAGCAUUUCAUAUUUUU
ensembl:snRNA U6 U6 spliceosomal RNA